rnacentral:rRNA from 1 species
UACGUAGGUGGCAAGCGUUGUUCGGAAUUACUGGGCGUAAAGCGCGCGCAGGCGGUUCCUUAAGUCUGAUGUGAAAGCCCACGGCUCAACCGUGGAGGGUCAUUGGAAACUGGGGGGCUUGAGUGCAGAAGAGGAGAGCGGAAUUCCACGUGUAGCGGUGAAAUGCGUAGAGAUGUGGAGGAACACCAGUGGCGAAGGCGGCUCUCUGGUUUGUAACUGACGCUGAGGCGCGAAAGCGUGGGGAGCAAACAGG